rnacentral:ncRNA from 1 species
GUAUUGUGGGGACCACCUCCGCGAGAGGUGUUAGGCAUUAGCCAGCCACGACGGCUUGCACGCGAGAACUAGACCCCUUCGUGCAGACACCAAGCCAGCCGUCGCAGCAAGCCAGGCCGUUUUUUUUG